CCGACGGCCUGAGUUGUCCAGACAUGGCAAGACGUAAGUCCAGUUCACCAGUAGCAGUAGUUCUAAGUAUGGAUUGUCGCCUAGAAGAUCGCUACGUGAGGUGAGCAGUGCGACAAUACAUGGCAUGGUAUGUCGGGUACGAGAGUAGCGUGAGCAAUAGGCUUCGUACGUGACACGAAAGGUGAGCCUGGUCGUAUCAUUUGACACAUUGCAGGCGUCGACGUGGUACGGACUGAGAAGAUAACAUGUAAGUAUCUGCUACGUAAGGCAUGAGAGUCGGCAUGGAGGUGAUCUGACAUUCCGUGUGUGACGACGCGUUCGAGGGCUAAAUCUAUAGUCCUCAAAGCAAGUAAAAGCUUGUACGUUACAGCAUGGAACGGACAAUGCAGUAUGAUGUGUAGUAGUUCGAGUUAUGGAAGAGAAAUCUGCCCUGACUUCAGUACAGUACCCCGACCUCCAAUUAUGGAUGUUGGUUCCGUAUCGGGGUACUGAUUAAGAGGAGUGGUUGGAGGCAUCGGUAUUUGGCAGCGAGAGGUGAUAUUCUUGGACAUGCCAAGGACUAACAAAUGCGAAGGCAUCUGCCCAGACCGUAUCCAUUAAUCAAGAACGAAAGUGAGAGGUUCGAAGGCGAUCCGAUACCGCCAUAGUUAUCACCGUCAAGUAUCAUGACCCGGGAUCAGUUUGGAUUGCAUUUCAAGAUCGAGGUCGGUCCCCCUGGGAAACAAGACGUUUUUCGGUUGCGGGGGGAGUAUUGUAGCAAGGAAGUAACUUAAUGGAAUUGACGGAAGGGCACCACCAGGGGUGGAGCUUGCGUAUUACUUUGACUCAUCACGGGAAAACUUUCCCAUCCGGACAUCAAAAGGAUAGACAGACCAUAGAUCUUUUGGGAUAUGAUGAUUGGUGGGGCAUGACCGUUCUUAGUUAAGGAAGUGAUUUGUCGGCCUAAUUCGGAUAACGGCCGAGACCACGGUUUCCAUUUGCCGACUAACAGAAGGUGGCUGAGGACUCGGAAGUAACAAUCUCAGUGAUAGGUCAAUCACGGUAGGCAUGGCGAGAUGAACGGCCGUGUGGAGGUGGUGUAGGCAUUGGUUAGGUUAGAGGAGAGUCUUGGUGAGCCUCCGACAAGGCAAAUAGGAUGGCGCAAAAUGGCAGUGGCCUAUCAAGGAGAGACACCGGCCAUUACCCCCAAUCCCCGCGUUAAGGGGAAAU
rnacentral:rRNA from 1 species